AUAUAUAUAUAUGACGUAACAAAGGUGAUGACAUGCUUUUGUCAUAUUCUUAGAUUCUAUUUCUUGACUACAUGGAGCUUUCUAGGUUAUUCCACAACCAUAAACUAGAUAUCAGAGCAUGUAAGUCACCCUUUGCAUGGACGUGUCAGAUUUUUCUUAAAAACAAUAGAGAUGGAAACAUCUAAGAAUUAGAUACAACAAUGAUUAAUAGUUAUUUUUCGACCACUUUGGAGAAAAAAA
rnacentral:lncRNA from 1 species